GCUCGCUCAUUGUCUUAAUCGAAAUUACGGAUUGCCUCUUAUCCGCUCGUCGUCCCCCUAUGCCAUAGUUUGUACAUCUCAAUUUUCAGUAGAAACCAAAACAUUUAUAAGCAAGUCAGCCAUAUCAGCUAUGUUUUUUUUAAAGGCAGUAAAUGAGGCUGAGUUAACUGUUUUGCUGCCAGACAAGGCUCCGCUGACAGCCAUGUGUAGUGGUUGUAAGGUUUUGGGACUCCUGUUAGGACAGCUUUAUGUAGGCCACCACAGUUUGUGGGUACUGUUUGUCACCGUUAUAGUCCAAUUAAUGCAUUGUUUAGUGUUGUGUAAUGGCUUUGCAGGCAUGCAUAUAAAAAAAAGACCUACCACUGACCAAAUGUCUCUUUGUUUUCCAGUCUAACAUUGUCCAUGCACCGGAUGGUCUGAAGGAUGCACUCUUGUUAGACUGGAAAACAAAGAGACAUUUGGUCAGUGGCUCGAUCUGCUGUAGUCUCUACAAUUGGACGCUUGCACUCAGAUCACACUGGCACAGGAUGUCAUCACACUGGCACAGGAUAUCCAUGCACCGGAUGGUCUGAGGGCUGCACUGUCUGGAUCUUCCUCUUCUGCCAUGGUGGAUGAGCUGCCUUUUCUGGUAAAAAUAGGGCCAUUUCUCUUUCCCAAUGGAAAAUGGCAGCUGCAGACCCGACUGUUGUCAUUGGGCUUCCGGUUCGCCCAUCUGAAAGACCCCCCAACAUUUUUUUACCGGCUAGCUAGGUUGAUUACUAAAAUGAUAACAUCUGUAUUUAAAUACUAUAAUCAACAGACUUGACUAUAGUCAUUUUAAAAUAGACUGGGCUUUGGUCUUAUAUCAGUAUCUGCAGAUCUAAAAUACUACUAUGUGGAUGGGACAUUUCUGCUGGGAUGGAGGAAUUAUCUGAAAUGCUCAACUAGAUGAUCAGGACAGUCUAGAGUACCUUUUGCCGGAAGAGGUGAAGUAUUGCAAUGAGCUAUACGGCUGUACUUAUGAUUCUAAUUCUCAAGAGGAAAGUUAAACCCUCAGCCGUAAGGUCACUGAGGAGGACCAACAGUGGUAAGGGGAUAUUCUGAAAGGGACUGACAUGCAGAGAUAGAACAUAAGGAUUUUGGGCAAUGCCCAGCAGACCACAAUUUCUAUUAGCCUGGGUAACAUUCUGAUCCUACAUCUGUGGAAUGUGAUGUUUGUAAAGGCAAAAUUUCCCUGCUGUGUCAGGCUAGUUUGGCACAUUUUCUACUAGCCCAGUCUGAAAAGUAUUAGCCUCGGGCUAGCUUAAUUUACAUCCCUGCUGAUAUUUCUAACUGACUUCACAGGUCAUUUGAUUAGAAAUGUACAACAGAUGCACUCGUGGAAGAAAACAGUUUUCUGUGUUUUGUAUGGAGAAAACAUUGAGCCCACAAAUCCUUUGUGAGCUAGCUAGCCAACUUUAGCUAAUGUAGCUAACUAGCCAAUCAAAGUGCCUUACAAGCUAGCCCACCAGGUGAUAUUUAGCUAGCUAGUUAACAUUAGCUCACUGUUUGUGUAGUCAGAUUUUUCAAAGUGGUGACAUGCUAGCUAACCAACUAUCCUUGCCAUUGAGCAGGUGUUGUGCCGUAAAGCUCCCACCUCCCAGAAUUCUCCCCCCUUCGCGUGAAUGCGCACGCACUCAAUUAUUCAUUGCUGCGACUUGCUUGCUAGUUGAGAUUUCUGACCACGUUAGCCUGCGUUUCAUUUUAUUUUUUAUGUCGGUUUGAUCGUGGGGAGUUUACAA